rnacentral:rRNA from 1 species
GACGGAGGAUGCAAGUGUUAUCCGGAAUCACUGGGCGUAAAGCGUCUGUAGGUGGUUCGAAAAGUCCACUGUUAAAAAUUGAAGCUUAACUUCAAAGAUGCCGUGGAAACUUUCAAACUAGAGUGUGGUAGGGGUAGAGGGAAUUUCCAGUGAAGUGGUGAAAUGCGUAGAUAUUGGAAAGACCACCAAUGGCGAAGGCACUCUACUGGGCCACAACUGACACUGAGAGACGAAAGCUAGGGGAGCAAAUGGG